rfam:Sphingomonas sp. Root710 contig_4, whole genome shotgun sequence.
AGAACGGGCCUUUCAGGCAUCCUCUCCUAAAACUUUCAAGGCCGGUCCUUCGGGACCGGCCUCUUUUUUUGUUUUGC